GGUCCUGUAGUGUAGCGGUUAGCACAUGAGAUUCUGAUCAGUGGUCAUACACGGCCUUUCAAUUCGAUUCACCAUUCUCAUAACCCAGGUUCGAUUCCUGGCAGGACCU
rnacentral:tRNA from 1 species